UUGAAACACCGUUGGUCAUAGGUGUACUUAAUAAAGGAUGACUUGGUACUUAACCACAAUGAUUAAUUUUUGACAUAGGCACAAGGCCAGAAAUUAGAGGGGAUAAUUGUUAAAUCGUCCCAGCAUUUGAAUAGCACUUCACUUUAUCAACCCCUGACAGGUUGAGUGACAAAGCUAGCCGUUGACUUCAAGGAAUGAGUGGAGAUUUGAAAUCAGAAUUUAAAGAGUCAGAUGAAAUACUGCAAUGCAUUAUCCGUCUCUCUAACGAUUCUGCUAAAUCAUCUAGACAUCAUCCUUAAGGACAUGAGAAGGAAUUAUCAUGUCUUUAGAAGUGUUGCAUUAAAUUCUCUUAAUCGGUACUGCAUGGCCGCAGUCAAAUGACUGAAACAAGUUAGAGAAUAAAAGAAUAGCUCAGUAGCAAGUCAGACUAUCAAAAUACAAGGUAUGAUACAUAAAGUUAAAAGACACCGGAUGUGGUCGAUCAAAUCAACACCAUUACUUUUUCUAUUUGCCACAUUUUGCUGAACGCUGAAGUACAGAGACUACCUGAUGAAAUUGUGUUUUAAAGAGGUCACACAGGAAGAUGAUGUCAACUUCGUCCUUAGAUAAUUUUGUUUCUCUUUUCUUGCAUUUCGUCUUCCCCUCCAACGCUCUUGUAAGAGUUGCCGCCAUCCGGCACAGAUGAUUAACUUUUCUACGGGUCGAAGUGUAGACAGUUCGGGCCUCUAUAAAGGCGAAGUUUUUUUUCUUAUGUCUAAAAGAACUCAGUUAAGUGUGGAAUACAUUUAAAUCUAAGAAGGACUGUCCGAAACUAUAACCAAACCUGCCAUGCAUCAGAAUCCAGAGUAAGAAGACUCAGGAAAAAACGUCCCAGGAGAAAAAAAUCAUAGGGAAAAGUUACUAGCAAUACACAGAACUACAGGGCUAUAACAGCGUUUCUCGUGGAAUACUUGUCUUAGUCAUCAACAUUAAAAAUACUAAAUAUACAUGUAAUGCGAUGGGGUCGAUGAGCACUGGGGUCGAUGUAAUCGACUUACCCGCUCUCCCGAAAUUGCUGGCUUUGUGCCAAACUUUUGAAACCAAUAUGUACAUGUCAUUUAUUGUAAAUAAAUGACUGAAAAUAAA